UACAGAGGUGGCAAGCGUUGUUCGGAAUUACUGGGCGUAAAGGGCGAGUAGGUGGCCAUCUAAGUCAGACGUGAAAUCCCCCGGCUUAACCUGGGAACUGCGUCUGAUACUGGACGGCUUGAGUAUGGGAGAGGAACGUAGAAUUCCAGGUGUAGCGGUGAAAUGCGUAGAUAUCUGGAGGAAUACCGGUGGCGAAGGCGGCGUUCUGGACCAUUACUGACACUGAAUCGCGAAAGCUAGGGGAGCAAACGGG
rnacentral:rRNA from 2 species